CCUACGGGCGGCAGCAGUGGGGAAUAUUGCACAAUGGGCGAAAGCCUGAUGCAGCGACGCCACGUGAGGGAUGACGGCCUUCGGGUUGUAAACCUCUUCCAGCAGGGAAGAAGCGCAAGUGACGGUACCUGCAGAAGAAGCGCCGGCUAACUACGUGCCAGCAGCCGCGGUAAUACGUAGGGCGCAAGCGUUGUCCGGAAUUAUUGGGCGUAAAGAGCUCGUAGGCGGUCUGUCGCGCCUGGUGUGAAAUCUUAUGGCUCAACUGUGAGCUUGCAUCGGGUACGGGCAGACUAGAGUGCUGUAGGGGAGACUGGAAUUCCUGGUGUAGCGGUGGAAUGCGCAGAUAUCAGGAGGAACACCGAUGGCGAAGGCAGGUCACUGGUCCAUUACUGACGCUGAGGUGCGAAAGCGUGGGGAGCAAACAGGAUUAGAUACCCGCGUAGUC
rnacentral:rRNA from 1 species